rnacentral:rRNA from 1 species
CGCAUCUGUGCAUGCAGCAUAUCAAUAAGCGGAGGAAAAGAAACUAACAAGGAUUCCCCUAGUAACGGCGAGUGAAGCGGGAAGAGCUCAAAUUUGAAAUCUUAAAGGGUUUCCCUUUACGAAUUGUAGUUUAAAGAAGUGUUUUCUGUUGAGGUUUUGGUAAAAGUUCUUUGGAAUAGGACAUCAUAGAGGGUGAGAAUCCCGUAUUUGACCUUUACUUUCAACUUUGUGAUACACUUUCAAAGAGUCGGAUUGUUUGGGAAUGCAGUCCAAAAUGGGUGGUAAAUUUCAUCUAAAGCUAAAUAUUGGCGAGAGACCGAUAGCGAACAAGUACCGUGAGGGAAAGAUGAAAAGAACUUUGAAAAGAGAGUUAAACAGUACGUGAAAUUGUCAAAAGGGAAGCGUUUGACACCAGUGUUGUUUUUCUGAAAAUCAAUUAAAGAACUGUUUAUGCUAAGCUGUUUAGACUUUAUCAGCUAAUCUGUUUAGUUUUGAGCUUUUCUUUAAUGCACUUUUCAGUUAACAAGUCAACAUCAAUUUCUUUUGCUGUAAAAAAGCUUGAGGAAGGUGGCUUGAGAUUCGUCUUAAGUGUUUAUAGCCUCUUGCCUAUGCAGUCGGAGAGAUUGAGGUCUGCAGCGUAGAUCCUUCGGGGCUAAAUGCAUUUGUGCUAAGUUAUAGCAUUUUAUAGACAACUUGUUGACUAUGAUUUGUCUUGUAGCUUACUCGCUUAUGUUAUUUUACCUACGCUUAGGAUGUUGAAUCUGUGCGAGACUAC